UUUCUCCAGUUCCUGUCCAUAUGUGGGGAGAAAUGGCAAAUGCCUCUCCGGGUGACAGCGUCCAGAAACAAGCAGCCUCUCACCCGGUGAGUGUGACAGAAACCUCACCCACAGCCAUGGCUGACAUCUGAGAGGUUUUCCGGGCAGCCUCCUUGAAGAGGUGAAGAUGGGCUCUGAAACAUUGGUAUGAAGGAGGUGAGAAGAGGGGAAAGACCAGUACUGAGGAAAGAGCUUUGAGAACUGAAGGCAGAAGCAGCUUGAAAACUGGAUGUAGCAAAGGUCCAACUAGGAAAGAAGAAACUAUCUUAUAUUUUUCCAAUGGAG
rnacentral:lncRNA from 1 species